rnacentral:rRNA from 1 species
GACGAACGCUGGCGGCGUGCUUAACACAUGCAAGUCGAACGCUGAAGCUCAGCUUGCUGGGUGGAUGAGUGGCGAACGGGUGAGUAACACGUGAGUAACCUGCCCUCUUCUUUGGGAUAACGCCCGGAAACGGGUGCUAAUACUGGAUAUUCACUGAUUCUCGCAUGGGGGUUGGUGGAAAGGUUUUUUCUGGUGGGGGAUGGGCUCGCGGCCUAUCAGCUUGUUGGUGGGGUGAUGGCCUACCAAGGCUUUGACGGGUAGCCGGCCUGAGAGGGUGACCGGUCACAUUGCGACUGAGAUACGGCCCAGACUCCUACGGGAGGCAGCAGUGGGGAAUAUUGCACAAUGGGCGAAAGCCUGAUGCAGCGACGCCGCGUGAGGGAUGGAGGCCUUCGGGUUGUAAACCUCUUUCGCUCAUGGUCAAGCCGCAGCUUUGGGUUGUGGUGAGGGUAGUGGGUAAAGAAGCGCCGGCUAACUACGUG